rnacentral:snoRNA from 1 species
AUACCAUGAUGAGGACAUUUUUUGAGUAACUCCUUAAAUCUCUACCAUGCGUCACAUAAGCUCUCAUCUUCAAGUUGAUGGAAAGAUGUGAUCUUGUUUCUCAACUU